UCAGUGGAGAAAAAACAAAGGCUCAACGUCUAGGAAAGGACCCAUUUUUCUAACAAGCUAAAUAUUAUCAAGAAGGAAUGUCAUCUAGCUAUUAAAGCAAAGGGGAUCAGGAGUCUAGGGCUCUGUUUCCAGCACUGCGGGUUUCUCUUCACUUUAGAGUUAACUCUGGCUCUGAUGUGGGUGUUGCCACUAACUACUGCUCUUGCCAAUACGUGCAAUUCUCUUAGCUGAGGUUAGUGGUGCUUCUAUUCUGGGCUAGGUGGCUUGUCUGGGAUGGCUGCUAAAAUCUGAGUGAAGGACCAACGAGUUUUCCCACAAUUCACUGGGAAAGAAUCAGAACAGCUCAGCUUAGUGCAGAACAAAGACCCAUGGGAUGUGCGCCUAUAAAUCCUAGUGACUCACAUUGGUGGGUGCAGCAAUAAUAAGGAUCCAGUAACAUGGGUGGGGCUUUGCAGUGUGGAGGAUCAGACCCAAACUAGACUAACUCUGGUGCUGAUCACCCGAGUUAACCCUACAGCGAAGACCUUCUCUGUGUGACCUUGGCCAUGUGUUAUUGCAGUCAUUUACCACUGCCCCCUUCUGGAUGAUUCCUAAUCCAUUAUGAGCCAGGGAUGUGACCUGCAGUGUUCCAGCUACUGCUGUUUCUAAUGCAGUAUCUUUCAGCUAGAACACCUGGAGACCAAACAUCUCAUUUCUGUCUUUGAAGAAAGCAGAUUCAAGUGCUAUUAUUCCAGACAAUAUAAAAACAAAAGUUUUUCAGCCUCAAAUUCUCACAGGUCUUAUCUCUGCCUGGCUUUCUGAUGGGGUAGAAGUGAUGUCCUCUGAAAUUUUCUGGCAAGCAGUUCGAUUCUAACGUCAAGAGAAUGGGGUAUCUGUGGGCCUGAACAAUUUGCAGAAGCCUUUUCUGUCUACAUAAAAUGAAAGAAGCACAGAAAUAUUUUUUAUUAACUUACAACCUAUGGCUAGCUUCUACAGCUCAA